rfam:Triticum aestivum genome assembly, contig: Triticum_aestivum_CS42_TGACv1_scaffold_571139_7AS
UAGGUACUCCCUCCGUUUCGAAUUACUCGUCGCAGAAAUGGAUGUAUCUAGAUUUAGAUACAUCCAUUUCUGCGACGAGUAAUUUGGAACAGAGGGAGUAGGAG